rnacentral:rRNA from 1 species
UACGUAGGGUGCGAGCGUUGUCCGGAAUUAUUGGGCGUAAAGAGCUCGUAGGCGGUGUGUCGCGUCGGCCGUGAAAACCUGGGGCUUAACUCUGGGCUUGCGGUCGAUACGGGCAUCACUGGAGUUCGGCAGGGGAGACUGGAAUUCCUGGUGUAGCGGUGAAAUGCGCAGAUAUCAGGAGGAACACCGGUGGCGAAGGCGGGUCUCUGGGCAUUAACUGACGCUGAGGAGCGAAAGCAUGGGGAGCGAACAGG